UGUUUAUGGUUGACCAGUUAUUUCUUGCUUCAUUAAUAUUGACAUAACAUAGUGAUAAAACAGCUAAUAAUUCCUGGUAUGUCCUUCCUCUGGUGCAUAUUAUAAGUGCAUUGUUCAUGUUUUUCAGAUUGACAAGGAAUUCCUGCACAUAUCGACAGUACCGCUGCUAUCUAGAUUCUUUUAUGAGCUAGACUUGUACACUCCACGCAUGAUGGAGCUCUUUCGAGGCAAAGGUGGGGUGGCUGGCAGAAAAAUGAGACACAUCAUCGUGGCCAUCUCCAAGGAUGACACAAUACAUACAAGACGAGCAUGCAUCCUGAAGUCCUUGUGUGUCUACCUGAAUGAAGACCAUGAGAAACUUGUGAAGGAAUAUACAAACACUGAGGCCAACACUGAAGCCAUGGAACAAACUGUGAUGGGAGUGUAUGUCAUACAUCAGGAGGGUGCGGAGCCUGAAGAUGACCCAGAAAACAUCGGUGUAACAAACAAAUAUUUUACUAGUUCAUGUAACAAGACUGACUUUUGAUGUGCCAAGGUGUUUAAACAAUAUAACAUGAAUUUAAUUAGACUAACUUGGUACAAACAUGUUAACUGAAUAAAAAUCAAAUUAACUGAAUGUUAAUGUUUAAAUUAUGUUACACUUACAAACAUAUUUAGUGUUGAAACAACACAAUCAAGAUGGAUUGAUAUAACAUGAUUUGUUUAGAUGGA